rnacentral:rRNA from 1 species
GACGAACGCUGGCGGCGUGCCUAAUACAUGCAAGUCGAACGCUGAAGGAGGAGCUUGCUUCUCUGGAUGAGUUGCGAACGGGUGAGUAACGCGUAGGUAACCUGCCUGUUAGCGGGGGAUAACUAUUGGAAACGAUAGCUAAUACCGCAUAAGAGUAGAUGUUGCAUGACAUUUGCUUGAAAGGUGCAGUUUCCUCACUACCAGAUGGACCUGCGUUGUAUUAGCUAGUUGGUGGGGUAAACGCUGCACAAAGCGACGAUACAUUGCCGACCCGAGAAGGGGGAUGGCCAACACGGGAACGAGAACAGGGCCAGACUCCCUACGGGAGGAACCGGAAGGGAACCUUGGGAAAUGGCGGAAAGCUGGACGGGGAAAGCCGGCGGAGGUAAGGAAGGUCUUGGGUUCGUAAAACUCGGUUAUUGGGGAGGAACAGAGGUGGAGUUGAAAGUUCACAUUGUGACGGUAGCUUAUCAGAAAGCGACGGCUAACUACGUG